CCGGCGCACGGGUGAGUAACACGUAUGCAACCUGCCUGCCACAGCCGGAUAAUCGGGAGAAAUUCCGUCUAAUACGGCAUAAUGCAUCGACGGGACAUCCUGUUGGUGCCAAAGGUUAAUUCCGGUGGCGGAUGGGCAUGCGUCGCAUUAGUUAGUUGGCGGUGUAACGGACCACCAAGACGACGAUGCGUAGGGGUUCUGAGAGGAAGGUCCCCCACAUUGGAACUGAGACACGGUCCAAACUCCUACGGGAGGCAGCAG
rnacentral:rRNA from 1 species